rnacentral:rRNA from 1 species
UACGUAGGGGCCAAGCGUUGUCCGGAUUUAUUGGGCGUAAAGAGCUCGUAGGCGGUUGGGUAAGUCGGGUGUGAAAACUCCAGGCUCAACUUGGAGAUGCCACCCGAUACUGCUCUGACUUGAGUUCGGUAGGGGAGUGGGGAAUUCCUGGUGUAGCGGUGAAAUGCGCAGAUAUCAGGAGGAACACCGGUGGCGAAGGCGCCACUCUGGGCCGAAACUGACGCUGAGGAGCGAAAGCGUGGGUAACAAACAGG